rnacentral:lncRNA from 1 species
GCAAUACAAAUUUCAAGGCUGUGGAACCAGGAGAAGGUCUGAGGAACGGAGCUCCCGGAAGUAAAGGCAUUGCCUCACAUUUGAGUGCAUGAGGAGAAGUAAGGAAGAUUCUAUCACACUCUUGCUGUCAAUGGUUACAAGCCAUAGCUCAGAGUGAGUAUAUGUCCCAGGGGCCACCUCCUGUCCUUCAGGCUGCAUGGUUCCAGCCAAGACAGGAAAGGGUAGUUAGCCUUCACAAACCCAAGUGGAAACUAUGUAUAAGUAUCUAUGUCAGUCACUUCUCUUGUUUCUUCCAUGAGACACCUGGCAACAGUACUUAAGGAAGGAAAGGUUUGCACUGGCCCGCAGUCUGAAGGAGGACAGAGGACACAAGGCAAUGAGAGCAGCUCUAGGUGUAGCCGUGGGAGCCCGAUAUAGCUGGACGCGCUGCAUCUGAAGCAUGACUUCAGGAUUUGUGGUCAGAAGCACGAGGUGGAGAAGUCCUGAUACAAUCUUUGUACUGUACGGUUGCCGUCUGGACUUCAUUGACUAUCCCGGAGCGAUCCAGCACAAGUGACAAGUGAAGACCUUGGCUGUGUUUCAGAAGCACAAUUACAACUCUUGGGGUAAAGAGCCUCAGCGACAAGGCCCAGGAAAGCAGGUGUAUUGAGAAUUAGAGAGACUCGGAGCGGGCCCCAGAGGAGAGGUAGGGAGUGGUCCUGGCAGCUGUUGGAUGAAGCAGGUUGGAAGGGCCUUGAGAGCAGAGGUCUGUUGUUUAACAUCAUCUUCGAGUGUACCCUAGCACGGCGGUCUCGGCUGGAGAGAUUUUCUGUGUGCUGAACUUAGAUGGAUAUGUCAAAGUGUACUCAAGCUUUCUUGAACUUUUUCCCCAUCUGAAAUCACUAAAAAUGUGCAGUAUUUCAAAAAGCCCAAGUUUGCCUCCAAAUAUGCUUGUGAAAUGUAUUUCAACACACAUAUCCAACAGUAAGAACAUGCUGGCCAUAUCAAUCCUCACAGCAACUCUUUAUUGCAGCAUAUUGAGGUUUAAUCAGGAAACAGGUUAGAGCUUCUAUGUACAGGUUUUCUUCUAGUUUGAGGUUUUCCUGAAAUAUGUGACACAGACUCGUUAUACAAAUGGCCACUAGUAAAUUAUUUCCAGCAUGUGUUACUCUGUCAACAGUGAUGCUUUCACAGAACCUUUGUCCUCCACAAUUCCCCCCCUCCAUUUAAACCAGGACAUUUCCAUCUCAGUGAGCCACUGCUGUAUUUGGGACCUAAGCGAGAAGCUGGAUAAACAGAGGCGCUAUUAUUAUUGUUACUGUCAAUAUAGUUUCCUUCCCUAGUUAUAACUGAUUAUUUCCUUUUUUCCAUUUCAAAACAUUUUUGUUCAAAUGCUUCUGAUGGCUCUCGUCACAAGCAAUAUUCCUUCGGAAAUAAUGCACCUUUUUAAUUUCUCAACCUAAAAUACACAGCCCGUCAUCUCCAUAGUAGGAUGAUGCUGUUAGAGAGAUCAGCUGUGUCUAGUUGGAGAAUUUUUAGGGGAAUAAGGGAUUACAGGAGCGAGUGCUUCCUCUAUUAGUUCGUGCAAAGUGAAGACAAGAAAGAAAGUCUGUAGGAUGUAAGAGGUGAUGUUACUCCAGCAAGAGUUGGGCAUUUGGAAACACAUGGAGUUAAAAGCAGUUUUCACUUAAUGUGCUUUGUUGUUUCUGCUACAAUAAAAAUAAAUAAUAAAAAUUC